rnacentral:lncRNA from 1 species
UCAUAUUGUUCGAUACAUCAGAUUAAUCAUCAAGGAGGCUAAAUAAAAUUCACAUAGUAACCAAGUCUUUACCAGACCAAGUAAGUCAUACUAGUCAGACUAGCACGAAGUCUGCUCCAUAUAAACAAAAUAUGAUGCACCCAGCCUGCUCUAUAUAGACAAAAUAUGCAUGAUGUAUGUUACCCAUGCUCCUAGCGGUAAACAAAAGGAAGCCGCAAUCUCUAUCUAGUCAUGUGGCCAUUCAGUGAGCAGUUGCAGAUCCACCAUUGCCACCAUCUUCUUGAAACCGAGGCUCGAAGAAGCUAAGGACCCACUGUCCAAGAAUUGUUUCAUCAGCAUAGUUGAGGUAACUACGAAAGAUAUCUUGAUCUGGCUUGGAUAGAUAUGCUACAAUCUCAAGUUUAUCCUUAGCUGGUAUGGUAAGGGCAUUUAUCCGCUUCCAAAGGUUUGCAUAUGGAUCUGUAGGUGGCAUUGGUUGCACAGAAACAAUAGGAGAUGCAAGAGAGUCAGCUAGCUUCUUGAUACCUGCUUCUAACCAGUACCAAGGAUGCACAACUUGUAAAAAAAAUACACCUUGAUGGACAAAAAAUCGAAGCAUGUCUCAGUAGUUAACUAUGUAUAUCCAACUUCAAAAAAUCCACCUUAAUGUUCUAAAAAUAGAGACCAUACAUAUGGCACAAAAAGGGAAGAACAGACCAUACUACUUUCAGAACCAUACCAGGUUAAUUAACUAAUUAACAUCAUUAUUCUCAUGUGAUUUGACUUGCGUCAAAUAAAGAACAUGGAUCACCCAAAAAAAAACAAAGAAUAUGGAUGAGAGUCUCAUAUGUUUUUACUUGCAGCAAACCAACAACAUGCACGGGAGUCCCAUUCCAAUUUUACUUCCAGCAAACAGGGAAGAGGAUUCAACAAGCAAUUCUCAGAUCUAGCAAGUAGUACCUCCGUACAAUACAUACAUCCAUAAGGGGAUGAUGGGGAUUUGAGCUCACAAAUCAGACCAUAGAAAAGGGGAUCGGAGUAGUGUUGGAUGGGGAUUUCAGUGGCUGACCUUGGAGCGUAGCUUGACUGGGAGAGGAGGGCGAGAGGUGGAGCAGCGUCGCCGGUCGCCGGCCGCCGGAGAAGCUGGCACCGACGCAGAACGCGGCCGCCCGGUGAUUGGAUCGAGAGCGCUUCUGUGCGUGGAGAUAAGAGAGAUGGGGAAAGUGGCGAACAGGUGGGGAAAAAUCAAU